rnacentral:rRNA from 1 species
CGCGUAGGCGGAAAUGUAAGUCAGAUGUGAAAUUCCGAAGCUCAACUUCGGAGCUGCAUUUGAAACUACAAUUCUAGAGGAUUGACGGAGAAAACGGAAUUCCACGUGUAGCGGUGAAAUGCGUAGAUAUGUGGAAGAACACCUGUGGCGAAAGCGGUUUUCUAGUUAUUACCUGACGCUGAGGCGCGAGAGCAAGGGAGCAAACA